GGUGAACGCUAGCGGCAGGCCUAAUACAUGCAAGUCGAACGGUGUCUUCAGACAUAGUGGCGCACGGGUGCGUAACACGUAUGCAACCUACCUUACAUUGGGGGAUAGCCUUUCGAAAGGGAGAUUAAUACCGCAUAAGACAGUAGCUGGGCAUCCAGCAGCUGUUAAAGAUUUAUCGAUGUAAGCUGGGCAUGCGUCCAAUUAGCUAGUUGGUGAGGUAACGGCUCACCAAGGCAAUGAUUGGUAGGGGAACUGAGAGGUCAAUCCCCCACACUGGCACUGAGAUACGGGCCAGACUCCUACGGGAGGCAGCAGUAGGGAAUAUUGGGCAAUGGACGCAUGUCUGACCCAGCCAUGCCGCGUGCAGGAUGAAGGCGUUAUGCGUUGUAAACUGCUUUUAUACAGGAAGAAACGACUCUUGCGAGAGGCAUUGACGGUACUGUAUGAAUAAGCACCGGCUAACUCCGUGCCAGCCGCCGCAGUAAAAC
rnacentral:rRNA from 1 species